CCCCGGAAGGCCUAUGGCCCGCUAGCGGGGCCUGAGAAGGCUCAGGCAUGGCGGCCACGGCCGAGGGCGACCCUGAAGCCCAGCGGGAGGGUCUGGGACGAGACGAUGCCGUGGUGGAGACGGCCGAGGAGGCCACGGAGCCCGCCGAGGCGGACAUCACGGGGCUGUGCCAGGACAUGUUCUCCAAAAUGGCCACGUACCUAACAGGCGAGCUGACAGCCACCAGUGAAGACUAUAAACUUCUGGAAAAUAUGAACAAACUGACUAGCUUGAAGUAUCUAGAAAUGAAAGAUAUUGCAGUAAACAUAAGUAGAAACCUAAAAGACUUAAACCAGAAAUAUGCAGCACUUCAGCCUUAUCUGGAUCAGAUCACUUUAAUUGAGGAGCAAGUAGCAGCUCUUGAGCAGGCAGCUUACAAGUUGGAUGCAUAUUCAAAGAAACUAGGAAAGAGGGAACCACUGGAGCUUCUUGGAUCAAGGGAAUGAUAUAGUCAAACCUGUGUCAUUAGGAAUGGCCAUUUGGCAACUGGAAGAAGAGACAGAUUCAGGGAAAUCAGUUUGUAAUCUAAUGUAAAAGUCUAAGUGAUGAAGACUUGAACUUGAGUGAUAGCUGUGUGAAUGAACGGAGUGAAAUGGAUGUGAGAAGUAUCAUGAAAGUACAGUCAAGGAUGACUCCAUGGUUGCAUAUCUAGGUGACUGGAAGGAUGGUGAUAGCCAUACCUGAAGGAAUGAAGUUCAGAAGGAGGUGGGUUACGGCCAUGCAGAGAAGAAAAGAAGCAAAGUACAAGAAGUUAGAGAGGCGAUGAAAGAAUUCAUUAGCACAAAGACUUUAACUACAGGAAUAAGAGCUGAAAUAAGUGGGAUGGAACUUACACUAUGCUUCAGUUCCUAAAAGGAAGCGGUGCUGCUGAUCCAAGGAGAAUCUCAGUCCUCACCUCUGGUUGGAUGUGUAACUUUGGCCACCUCUUGAUGUUUCCUAAACCUAUAGCCCCUGGAACCUCAUCUUAUCGUGUGCUUCAUCGUGUGCCCUGGACCAAGGCUCAGAAAUCAGGAUCAACCCCGUCUGGAGCAGACACAGGAGAGGGCUCCCGGCUCCCUGCUCCCGGGCUCCUCUCUUCUUCCCCCUCCCCUGGGCUCCCCCCCACCCCCUUAAUAACCUGUUAUUCAACUUAAAUAAUAAAUGCCGA